CAGAGUGCCCCUGGCUCUGCUAACCCCGCGAACAGUACCAUGUUGCCUCGGCGGCGCACUGCUACCAGCAGCGCCCGCCGGCGGCCAUCAAAAUUCAAACUCUUGCAGUCGCCGUCAAUCUGACUAAAGCUUCAUAAUAAGUAA
rnacentral:misc_RNA from 1 species